UACGUAGGGUGCGAGCGUUAAUCGGAAUUACUGGGCGUAAAGCGUGCGCAGGCGGUUUUGUAAGCCAGAUGUGAAAGCCCCGGGCUUAACCUGGGAAUGGCAUUUGGGACUGCAAGGCUUGAGUGCGGCAGAGGAGACUGGAAUUCCUGGUGUAGCAGUGAAAUGCGUAGAUAUCAGGAGGAACAUCAGUGGCGAAGGCGGCUACCUGGCCCAAUACUGACACUCAGGUGCGACAGCGUGGGGAGCAAACAGG
rnacentral:rRNA from 1 species